rnacentral:rRNA from 1 species
UACGUAGGUGGCAAGCGUUGUUCGGAAUUACUGGGCGUAAAGCGUGCGUAGACGGUUAUUUAAGUCGGAUGUGAAAGCCCCGGGCUCAACCUGGGAAUUGCAUUCGAGACUGAAUAGCUAGGGUACGGUAGAGGGAAGUGGAAUUUCCGGUGUAGCGGUGUAAUGCGUAGAUAUCGGAAGGAACAUCAGUGGCGAAAGCGACUUCCUGGACCAGUACCGACGUUCAGGCACGAAAGCGUGGGGAGCAAACAGG